CCCAACCAAAGAAUAAUUAUUAGAAUUGAAAGUGAGUGAAGUGUAAUUCACCAAAUGGAAGAAACUAGUAAAAAAUAAAAAAAUAAAAAAUUCAAAGACAAGCAAGCAGCUCACAAAAGGUAAAAGAAAGCAAUAGGAAUACAUGAGGAACAAUUUCUUGUAAGAUCUAAAAUCCACUCAUGAAGAACUUAAGAAGAUUUAGUGGUAGAAACUUUUUCAAUCGAAUCUAAUUAUUGCAUGGCC
rnacentral:lncRNA from 1 species